rnacentral:rRNA from 1 species
AGUGAACGCUGGCGGCAUGCCUAACACAUGCAAGUCGAACGGCAGCACAGUAAGAGCUUGCUCUUCCGGGUGGCGAGUGGCGGACGGGUGAGGAAUACAUCGGAAUCUACUUUUUCGUGGGGGAUAACGUAGGUAAACUUACGCUAAUACCGCAUACGACCUACGGGUGAAAGCAGGGGAUCUUCGGACCUUGCGCGAUUGAAUGAGCCGAUGUCGGAUUAGUUAGUUGGCGGGGUAAUGGCCCACCAAGGCGACGAUCCGUAGCUGGUCUGAGAGGAUGAUCAGCCACACUGGAAGUGAGACACGGUCCAGACUCCUACGGGAGGCACCAGUGGGGAAUAUUGGGCAAUGGGGGCGAGCCUGAUCCAGCCAUACCGCGUGGGUGAAGAAGGCCUUCGGGUUGUAAAGCCCUUUUGUUGGGAGAGAAAAGCAGCAGGUUAAUACGACGCUGUUCUGACGGUACCCAAAGAAUAAGCACCGGCUAACUUCGUG